CCUACGGGUGGCAGCAGUGAGGAAUAUUGGUCAAUGGACGAGAGUCUGAACCAGCCAAGUAGCGUGAAGGAUGACUGCCCUAUGGGUUGUAAACUUCUUUUAUAAAGGAAUAAAACGAGGCACGUGUGCCUUUUUGCAUGUACCCUAUGAAUAAGGAUCGGCUAACUCCGUGCCAGCAGCCGCGGUAAUACGGAGGAUCCGAGCGUUAUCCGGAUUUAUUGGGUUUAAAGGGAGCGUAGAUGGUUUGUUAAGUCAGUUGUGAAAGUUUGCGGCUCAACCGUAAAAUUGCCGUUGAUACUGGAAGUCUUGAGUGUGGUUGAGGUAGGCGGAAUGCGUGGUGUAGCGGUGAAAUGCUUAGAUAUCACGAAGAACCCCGAUUGCGAAGGCAGCUUACUAAGCUGUAACUGACACUGAUGCACGAAAGUGUGGGUAUCAAACAGGAUUAGAUACCCUAGUAGUC
rnacentral:rRNA from 1 species